rnacentral:rRNA from 1 species
AUUGAACGCUGGCUGCAGGCUUAACACAUGCACGUCGAGCGAGCGUCGGACGGGUGAGUCAUGUCUGGGAACCUGCCUGAUGGAGGUGGAUAACUACUGGAAACGGUAGCUAAUACCGCAUACCAUCAGAUGUGCCCAGAUUGGAUUAGCUAGUAGGUGGGGUAAUGGCUCACCUAGGCGACGAUCCCUAGCUGGUCUGAGAGGAUGACCAGCCACACGGGAACUGAGACACGGUCCAGACGCCUAUGGGAGGCAGCAGUGGGGAAGAUGGCACAAUGGGCGAAAGCCUGAUGCAGCCAAGCGGCGUGUGUGAAGAAGGCCUGCGGGUUGUAAAGCACUAUCAGCGAGGAGGCGGUACUCGCAGAAGAAGGACCGGAUAACUCCGUGCCAGCAGACGAGGUAAUAC